UACGUAGGGUGCGAGCGUUAAUCGGAAUUACUGGGCGUAAAGUGUGCGCAGGCGGCCGAGCAAGUCGAGUGUGAAAGCCCCGGGCUUAACCUGGGAACUGCGCUCGAAACUACUUGGCUUGAGUGUGGCAGAGGGAGGUGGAAUUCCACGUGUAGCGGUGGAAUGCGUAGAGAUCGGGAAGAACAUCAGUGGCGAAGGCGGCCUGCUGGGCUGUUGCUGACGCUGAGGCGCGACAGCGUGGGGAGCAAACAGG
rnacentral:rRNA from 1 species